rnacentral:tRNA from 1 species
GCGCCAGUGGUUUAGUGGUAAAAUCCAUCGUUGCCAUCACGACUCGUGAAAACUCGAUGGGCCCCGCGUUCGAUUCGCGGCUGGCGCA